GGCGGCGUGCUUAACACAUGCAAGUCGAACGGUGAAGCCCUUCGGGGUGGAUCAGUGGCGAACGGGUGAGUAACACGUGGGCAAUCUGCCCUGCACUCUGGGACAAGCCCUGGAAACGGGGUCUAAUACCGGAUAUGACCUGGGACCGCAUGGUUCUGGGUGUAAAGCUCCGGCGGUGCAGGAUGAGCCCGCGGCCUAUCAGCUUGUUGGUGGGGUAAUGGCCUACCAAGGCGACGACGGGUAGCCGGCCUGAGAGGGCGACCGGCCACACUGGGACUGAGACACAGCCCAGACUCCUACGGGAGGCAGCAGUGGGGAAUAUUGCACAAUGGGCGAAAGCCUGAUGCAGCGACGCCGCGUGAGGGAUGACGGCCUUCGGGUUGUAAACCUCUUUCAGCAGGGAAGAAGCGCAAGUGACGGUACCUGCAGAAGAAGCACCGGCUAACUACGUGCCAGCAGCCGCGGUAAUACGUAGGGUGCGAGCGUUGUCCGGAAUUAUUGGGCGUAAAGAGCUCGUAGGCGGCCUGUCGCGUCGGAUGUGAAAGCCCGGGGCUUAACCCCGGGUCUGCAUUCGAUACGGGCAGGCUAGAGUGUGGUAGGGGAGAUCGGAAUUCCUGGUGUAGCGGUGAAAUGCGCAGAUAUCAGGAGGAACACCGGUGGCGAAGGCGGAUCUCUGGGCCAUUACUGACGCUGAGGAGCGAAAGCGUGGGGAGCGAACAGGAUUAGAUACCCUGGUAGUCCACGCCGUAAACGUUGGGAACUAGGUGUUGGCGACAUUCCACGUCGUCGGUGCCGCAGCUAACGCAUUAAGUUCCCCGCCUGGGGAGUACGGCCGC
rnacentral:rRNA from 1 species